rnacentral:rRNA from 1 species
GAUGAACGCUGGCGGCGUGCUUAACACAUGCAAGUCGAACGGGAAUUACUUUAUUGAAACUUCGGUCGAUUUAAUUUAAUUCUAGUGGCGGACGGGUGAGUAACGCGUGGGUAACCUGCCUUAUACAGGGGGAUAACAGUCAGAAAUGGCUGCUAAUACCGCAUAAGCGCACAGAGCUGCAUGGCUCAGUGUGAAAAACUCCGGUGGUAUAAGAUGGACCCGCGUUGGAUUAGCUAGUUGGUGGGGUAACGGCCCACCAAGGCGACGAUCCAUAGCCGGCCUGAGAGGGUGAACGGCCACAUUGGGACUGAGACACGGCCCAGACUCCUACGGGAGGCAGCAGUGGGGAAUAUUGCACAAUGGGGGAAACCCUGAUGCAGCGACGCCGCGUGAAGGAAGAAGUAUCUCGGUAUGUAAACUUCUAUCAGCAGGGAAGAUAGUGACGGUACCUGACUAAGAAGCCCCGGCUAACUACGUGCCAGCAGCCGCGGUAAUACGUAGGGGGCAAGCGUUAUCCGGAUUUACUGGGUGUAAAGGGAGCGUAGACGGUGUGGCAAGUCUGAUGUGAAAGGCAUGGGCUCAACCUGUGGACUGCAUUGGAAACUGUCAUACUUGAGUGCCGGAGGGGUAAGCGGAAUUCCUAGUGUAGCGGUGAAAUGCGUAGAUAUUAGGAG